UUGUUCACUUGUAGCAUGUAUUCAAUUACAUUAUGCAAAUGUGGCUGCAAGAAAGAAGGACGAACUUCGAUUAGCUGAACAAAAGCCGAACAAACCUAUCCACCAUGUGGGUAAUUAUUAUUAAUGAUGAAUAGCAGCACUCCAGAACAACACAAUUCGAAUAACCAAUAAAAAACUAAAACUGCGGAGCUCGUUUUGAGUUAAAAAAGGUAAAGUUGCACAAAACUGCGGCUGAUCACAACAACCAUGAAACAAAUAACAACACAAAAAUAGAAUACUUUUUUUAAAGAAAUCCUACUGAAAGAGUAAAGAUUUAAAAUGUCAAGG
rnacentral:lncRNA from 1 species